AACGAACGCUGGCGGCAUGCCUAACACAUGCAAGUCGAACGAGACCUUCGGGUCUAGUGGCGCACGGGUGCGUAACGCGUGGGAACCUGCCCUUAGGUUCGGAAUAACUCCCCGAAAGGGGUGCUAAUACCGGAUAAUGUCUUCGGACCAAAGAUUUAUUGCCUUUGGAUGGGCCCGCGUUGGUUUAGCUAGUUGGUAGGGUAAAAGCCUACCAAGGCGACGAUCCAUAGCUGGUCUGAGAGGAUGAUCAGUCACACUGGGACUGAGACACGGCCCAGACUCCUACGGGAAGCAGCAGUGGGGAGUAUUGGACGAUGGGCGAAAGCCUGAUCCAGCAGUGCCGCGUGAGUGAUGAAGGCCUUAGGGUUGUAAAGCUCUUUUACCCGGGAUGAUAAUGACGGUACCGGGUGAAUAAGCUCCGGCUAACUCCGUG
rnacentral:rRNA from 1 species